GACGAACGCUGGCGGCGUGCUUAACACAUGCAAGUCGAACGGAAAGGCCCUGCUUGCAGGGUACUCGAGUGGCGAACGGGUGAGUAACACGUGGGUGAUCUGCCCUGCACUUCGGGAUAAGCCUGGGAAACUGGGUCUAAUACCGGAUAGGAGCCAUUUUUAGUGUGAUGGUUGGAAAGUUUUUUCGGUGUAGGAUGAGCUCGCGGCCUAUCAGCUUGUUGGUGGGGUAAUGGCCUACCAAGGCGGCGACGGGUAGCCGGCCUGAGAGGGUGGACGGCCACAUUGGGACUGAGAUACGGCCCAGACUCCUACGGGAGGCAGCAGUGGGGAAUAUUGCACAAUGGGCGCAAGCCUGAUGCAGCGACGCCGCGUGGGGGAUGACGGCCUUCGGGUUGUAACCUCCUUUCGCUAGGGACGAAGCUUUUUGUGACGGUACCUAGAAAAGAAGCACCGGCUAACUACGUG
rnacentral:rRNA from 1 species